rnacentral:rRNA from 1 species
GAUGAACGCUAGCGGCAGGCUUAACACAUGCAAGUCGAGGGGCAGCAUAAUGGAUAGCCCUAUCUAUGGUGGCGACCGGCGCACGGGUGCGUAACGCGUAUGCAACCUACCUUUAACAGGGGGAUAACACUGAGAAAUUGGUACUAAUACCCCAUAAUAUCAUAGAAGGCAUCUUUUAUGGUUGAAAAUUCCGAUGGUUAGAGAUGGGCAUGCGUUGUAUUAGCUAGUUGGUGGGGUAACGGCUCACCAAGGCGACGAUACAUAGGGGGACUGAGAGGUUAACCCCCCACACUGGUACUGAGACACGGACCAGACUCCUACGGGAGGCAGCAGUGAGGAAUAUUGGUCAAUGGACGCAAGUCUGAACCAGCCAUGCCACGUGCAGGAUGACGGCUCUAUGAGUUGUAAACUGCUUUUGUACGAGGGUAAACGCAGAUACGUGUAUCUGUCUGAAAGUAUCGUACGAAUAAGGAUCGGCUAACUCCGUG